rnacentral:rRNA from 1 species
GAUGAACGCUGGCGGCGUGCUUAACACAUGCAAGUCGAACGAAGCACUUUAUUACGAUUUCUUCGGAAUGACGAUUUAGUGACUGAGUGGCGGACGGGUGAGUAACGCGUGGGUAACCUGCCUUAUACAGGGGGAUAACAGUUAGAAAUGACUGCUAAUACCGCAUAAGCGCACAGGAUUGCAUGAUCUGGUGUGAAAAACUCCGGUGGUAUAAGAUGGACCCGCGUCUGAUUAGCUGGUUGGUGAGGUAACGGCCCACCAAGGCGACGAUCAGUAGCCGACCUGAGAGGGUGACCGGCCACAUUGGGACUGAGACACGGCCCAAAACUCCUACGGGAGGCAGCAGUGGGGAAUAUUGCACAAUGGGGGAAACCCUGAUGCAGCGACGCCGCGUGAGCGAAGAAGUAUUUCGGUAUGUAAAGCUCUAUCAGCAGGGAAGAAAAAAAUGACGGUACCUGACUAAGAAGCCCCGGCUAACUACGUG